rnacentral:misc_RNA from 1 species
AUAUGGCCGCCUGUGAGUAACAAAACACGGACAAGUCUAUAGCGGAAAAACAAUGAACGCUGACAAGAGAAGGAGGGCUCGUGUACAGGGUGGCUGGGCCCCGCCAUCAGUAUCCAAUGUAAGAUCUGACAGAGAUAAACCUAAAAUGCCAUCAGGACCAGCAUGGAUGGGUAAAAAUAUCGACCAAGGUUCUCAAAGCCCAGAAAAGAAGUUUGUUUUCGAGGAGACUGACGAGAUUAGGCAGAAACCGCCAGAUCAAGUUAUUACGAAAGCUGGAGUUUAUGACAUUAGCAGUGGGCCAUCUGGAGUUUCUAGACUGAGGUAUUUCCCAUGUUUUAUUGAUCCGACGGAGGCCAAAGGAAUGUUUGAUCAGCUGUUUGAGGAGUGUCCCUGGCGGCAACGAUCUGAUUCCUACAACGGGGAACAGUACCUGCAGCCUCGGCUCACUGCAUGGUUUGGGGACCUGUCCUACUCCUACUCAGGCGUUAAACUGGAUGUUAACAAAGAUUGGCCUGCCGUGAUGAGGCUGUUGAAGCAGCACCUGGAGGAAGCGACCGGUCUGACUUUCAACUCUGUCCUAGCCAACCUGUACCGAGACGGACAUGACAGCGUUGCCUGGCAUGCUGAUGAUGAAAAGUCACUUGGGGAAAAUCCUACCAUAGCUUCAUUGUCUUUCGGAGAUGUCAGGAACUUUGAGUUGAGAAAGAAACCUGCACAAGGUGAGGAUCCUGCCUUGUCUCAGCUGAUCCGUGUGCCCCUCUCCCCAGGAUCUCUGCUCAUCAUGGAGGGAGCCACACAGGACGACUGGCAUCAUCGGGUUCCUAGGGAGUAUCACGACAGGGGUCCAAGGAUCAACUUGACGUACAGAGUUAUUUAUCCAGAAUAAUCAUGAUACAGAUCUCUGUUUUAACCAUUUAUUGUAAAUAUUGUAUCAUUUGAUCUAUAUAAACAUUGACAGUUUUUCUGAUUUUGAAGCCACGCUUGUUAUUUUGAUGUGAUUUGUUUUGAAGAAAGUGGGAAAUGACGAGAAAGAUGUUUGUGUCUUAGUAUCUUAAAAGAUAUGAUUAUUUUUCCAUAUUGCAGGGCAUGCUUAUCUUCACUUUAGAUGAUGCUUGUUAUAAUAGUUGACUGACAAAGGGAUUGGAUGUUCAAUAUGACUG